CUACGGGACGCAGCAGUGAGGAAUAUUGCACAAUGGGGGGAACCCUGAUGCAGCAACGCCGCGUGGAGGAUGACGCAUUUCGGUGUGUAAACUCCUUUUAUAUGUCAAGAAAAUGACGGUAGCAUAUGAAUAAGCACCGGCUAACUCCGUGCCAGCAGCCGGCGGUAAUACGGAGGGUGCAAGCGUUACUCGGAAUCACUGGGCGUAAAGGACGCGUAGGCGGGCUUGUAAGUCAGGUGUGAAAUCCUACAGCUUAACUGUAGAACUGCACUUGAAACUACGAGCCUAGAGGAUGGGAGGGGGAGAUGGAAUUAGUGGUGUAGGGGUAAAAUCCGUAGAUAUCACUAGGAAUACCUAAAGCGAAGGCGAUCUCCUGGAACAUAACUGACGCUAAGGCGUGAAAGCGUGGGGAGCAAACAGGAUUAGAUACCCCAGUAGUC
rnacentral:rRNA from 1 species